GGGGCUGUUUGGCUUUGACAGCAGAUAGAAAAGGUAUGUAAGCAGGCAGUGCUCUGUCGGUCCGCACUAUAAAAAGAUUGGCAACAAUUAUCUGGCAACAACAAUUUUGCUCUUGCUGCUUGAUCGAAGUACAGUAGAUCUGCUUAAUCACGGCACAAGGUGCUGUGACAAGACAUCACCCGGAAGCUCUUGCUCCGAAGCUCGGGAUAGUUUCUGAUGGCUUCGCAUCAGGGAUGAGAUUUUAGAAGAUAAGGUUAUGACCCGGUAGCUCUAUCCAAGUUAUGGCUCGAAAAAUCAAGUAGAGAUAAGCCUGUAGAAAGCAUAUGGUUUCUCUGUUUGGACGAGGGUUCGACUCCCUCCAGCUCCAC
rnacentral:tmRNA from 1 species